rnacentral:lncRNA from 15 species
CCUGAACACGCCCGAUCUCGUCCGAUCUCGGAAGCUAAGCAGGGUCGGGCCUGGUUAGUACUUGAUGGGAGACCGCCUGGGAAUACCAGGUGCUGUAAGCCUUUUCAUUUCUCUUAGCAAACAGCAGAGGCUGCUGCUUCUUCACUGUACACAGAACGUUGUUCAGAUAUUUUUUCCACUGUUGUUGUAUAAUAUUUAAGCUUUCCGUCUAGAUGGAAUUCAUUUGAUUCUACUAUUGUUAUUAUCAUUGUUGUUGUUGUUGUUAUCACUUGUCCACUGCAGGAUAAUAUCUAAACUUCAUUCAUGAGGACAUGUUGAAUUUUUCUCCUGCACACCCUGUUAAGGAAUUGAUUUCGUGGGACCUGAUUUUGGGAGAGUUCAAACAAACAGAACAUGGUGUAACAACGUCUUUAAAAGGUCCAUUUGCAGGUGAAGCUCUCGCUUACGGCCAUACCACCCUGAACGCGCCCGAUCUCGUCCGAUCUCGGAAGCUAAGCAGGGUCGGGCCUGGUUAGUACUUGGAUGGGAGACCGCCUGGGAAUACCAGGUGCUGUAAGCCUUUUCAUUUCUCUUAGCAAACAGCAGAGGCUGCUGCUUCUUCACUGUACACAGAACGUUGUUCAGAUAUUUUUUCCACUGUUGUUGUAUAAUAUUUAAGCUUUCCGUCUAGAUGGAAUUCAUUUGAUUAUACUAUUGUUAUUAUCAUUGUUGUUGUUGUUGUUAUCACUUGUCCACUGCAGGAUAAUAUCUAAACUUCAUUCAUGAGGACAUGUUGAAUUUUUCUCCUGCACACCCUGUUAAGGAAUUGAUUUCGUGGGACCUUAUUUUGGGAGAGUUCAAGUCAGUAAAUGCAUGAAUUAAUACAGAACUAAGUUGGUCAUCAAAUCGUAAGUACAUAAAUAAACGUCUUGAAUGGACUCUAAUCCCACAGACAAACAGAACAUGGUGUAACAACGUCUUUAAAAGGUCCAUUUGCAGGUGAAGCUCUCGCUUACGGCCAUACCACCCUGAACGCGCCCGAUCUCGUCCGAUCUCGGAAGCUAAGCAGGGUCGGGCCUGGUUAGUACUUGGAUGGGAGACCGCCUGGGAAUACCAGGUGCUGUAAGCCUUUUCAUUUCUCUUAGCAAACAGCAGAGGCUGCUGCUUCUUCACUGUACACAGAACGUUGUUCAGAUAUUUUUUCCACUGUUGUUGUAUAAUAUUUAAGCUUUCCGUCUAGAUGGAAUUCAUUUGAUUCUAC